rnacentral:rRNA from 1 species
AUUGAACGCUGGCGGCAGGCUUAACACAUGCAAGUCGAGCGAGCGGCGGACGGGUGAGUAAUGUCUGGGAAACUGCCCGAUGGGGGGGUAUAACUACUGGAAACGGUAUCUAAUACCGCAUACCCUCAGUUUUGCCCAGAUGGGGUGAGCUAGUAGGUGGGGUAAUGGCUCACAGAGGGGACGAUCCCUCGCUGGUCUGAGAGGUGGACCGGCCACACGGGAACGGAGACACGGUCCAGACUCCUACGGGAGGAAGCAGUGGGGAAUAUUGCACAAUGAGCGCAAGCCUGAUGCAGCCAUGCCGCGUGGGUGAAGAAGGCCUUCGGGUUGUAAAGCACUUUCAGCGAGGAGGCGUUACUCGCAGAAGAAGCACCGGCUAACUCCGUGCCAGCAGCCGCGGUAAUAC